rnacentral:sRNA from 3 species
UACUAGCCCUGAUGGAAGCGGUGUCCUUUUGUAUUUUUUCUUUAGAAAAUAAAAGAUAUAGCGGAUUGCUUCGCUAGUC